rnacentral:lncRNA from 1 species
GCAAAGAUCAACACCCUCAUAAAUCUUUUCAACAAAGUAUGGAUAGAACAUAGUAUAGUAUAAUUGCCGUAUCCGGCAAUCCUCCUCAGUUGAAUCGGCUUCCCCCAUCAAACUUCCUACCACAGCACCUAGCCGAGGAUGUUCCUCAACAACAGUCCAACCUCUAAUAGACAUAUUAGAAGAUUCCACAACUUCUAUUUGAGAGCAGAGACUUGUCAUUGGCUAUAGAUAACCUAUUCGACGAAGUGAACCAAGAUCUGAGCAACCAGGAAUCGAUCCCCAAACUCACCAUACACUCGACCAUGAUGCCAACGAAAUACGACUCCCAUCUACCCUGUUUGAAAUUAGUGAUCAAGAUACAUCACAACAGAUAGACACAACCCUCAAACAAGAAAUAGAAGAAAUUUUGGUGAACAUGGAGCAAGAACGGAGGGCCAUUCCACCAGAUUGACCACGAACAACACGGCUUCAUCAACGUAUCAACACAGAAUGACAACGUCACUUUGACACAAUACCAUACGGACCGGAAGACCUUCACAGAAUAGUUGAAUCAGCAAGAAACAACCCACAAUUUCGGGAAAGUCUAACUGCAUCAGAGAUCUAUGCGUCAACUACACAAUUUCUACAAGGCGAAAAUUUUCACAAUUGGUUAGCGGAUGGAAGACAAUUCUUUAACCUCGAUAACCGACAUCCUUAAUAAGAUCAACAUAAACAAGGCCUUGUGUAGCAAGAAGCUAACUACUCUUUUACAUUGAUGUGCGAUGCAAACACAAUUGUGUCAUUUCCUGGUCUUGCUACUCUCGAGCGGAUGGACGGACCUGCUGCUUCGAACCGGACACAACGAGCGCAUUAGUGGCCAUAAAUAACCUACUUGACGAAGUGAAUCAGAUAGGAGCAACCAGGCCCCAAUCCCCACGAUUCACCAUCUAAUCCACCUCAACGCCAACGAUAUAUGACUCCCAACUACUCUUUUCAUAUCAGCAAUGACGAUACAAUACAACAAGAAACAACCCUCAAACAAGAAGCAGAAGAAGAUUUGGUGAACAUGGAGCGAGAACGGAGGGCCUUUUGCCCAAAUUUACCACGAACAACACGGCCUCAACAACGCAUCAACAUAAAACGACAACGUCUCUUUGACGUAAUUCCAUACGAGCGGAAAGACCUCCACAGAACAGUUGAAUCAGCGAGAAACAACCUACAAUUUUGGAAAAGUCUAACUAUAUUAGAGAUGCGGAGGACAACUCUUUAACCUUGGUAACCGACAUCCUCAAAAAGAUCAACAUCAACAAGGCAAGUUAGUUUUUUCAUUACAUCAAAUAAGUAACGACAACAAAAACAGGAAGUUACAAAAUCCUACCUCUAGCGACAGAUGUCCCCUGUUUAACCCAGCACGGCCAUAGGCCUCAGUUUUCUAAGCUAAAGGUCUAGACACCAGCACUGAAAUGGUGCUAGAAUUGAAACGAUAAGAAUCCACCUACAUCCGGCCAGUAGCCUAGUCACAUGUGUCAGACACAAAUUGUAACACACAGUUGUGUUUUCAGUUUUAAUCUCGAUGGGGAUUUUAAGGUUGGGAUAAGUGGCUUAGAUUUUUCUCUAAUCUAAUUAUUUUAGGAUUAUCAUGAUUAAAGUAGUAUAAUCCUUAAAUAGACUAAAAUCUUUGGAACCUUAAUUUUUAUUGUAAUUUAACUAAGAACUAUAUUUUUCAAUUUAAAAGUCACAAAUUUACAACAAUCAAAUCUUCAUUAGUAGAUGCAAGAGCUUUCAUGCAUACUACAAAAGACUAGUCACCUUUUGUUAUAUAUGCUACACCCAUUUUUGAUGUGGAAAGAUUACAAGUGGCAUUCCAAGCUAAUACCAAAAUUAUCAAGAUACCUUUGACAAGAAGAAUGUGCAUAGUCUUAUAAAGUAUUGUCCAUAUGAUUCUUGGAAUCAUAUUUGAGGUAGUGCUCUUGUCAAAUUAUCAAGUACAUAUAUCACAAACAAAUAAAACAUAUUCUAUAUUCUUAUGUUGCUUAGAAAGAAUAGAUAUUCACUCAAAAUAGUAUACUAUUGAAACUAAAAUGGCUAUUGCCAAAGCCAAGAAGACUGAAGAUUCUUAAAACAAGACUAACAAUAAAGGUGUUGAAAAGAAUGAAGAAGGCUUCAUUCUUGCUUCUGUAUAUACUAUCUAAGUAGAAGCUAUGUAGCAAGGUUCUAUAAGACCUCUAAAACAUGUCCACCUUGUGAGACACAUGCCAUAUUUACAAGCCAAGUCUCUUACAUGUAUGCCAUAUAUUUAACUUGAACCACAAGCUACCAACAUGUGCAAUACAUGGGUAACUUAUUGGCUAGGUAUUUAACCUACCAACCAACACAUACCACGUUUAAUUAUAUUUAAAAGCUUGUAUUUAAUUAAUACUUCAAAAUCUAUCAUGAUAAAAAUUCCAUGAAUUAGGUUUAGUUUCAAAGCACACUAAAAAAUAAAGACCAAAUAUUGAUUGCAAAAUGUGUAUUCCUUGUCCUUUUUAUACAAGGUUUAUUGUGAUCUUUCAAUCUUUGAAUUCAAGUUUGUUUCAAAUCCUUACAUUUACAACAAUAGAUUUAUAAUAUAGUAAAUGUCUAUUGCAUUGAUUUCAACAACCAUUGAUUUUCCAAUGAAUGCCAUCUUGCCUUAUAAA